rnacentral:misc_RNA from 1 species
UUUCCGUAGGUGAACCCGCGGAAGGAUCAUUCAUAAUAAAGUGUUUUAUGGCACUUUUUAAAAAUCCAUAUCCACCUUGUGUGCAAUGUUAGAUCUCGUCAAUCUUGGCGAGAUUUUUAUACAUCAACUCAUUCUUUAACUAAUUUGUCUGAAAAAUAUUAAGAAUACUUAAUUCAAAAUACAACUUUCAACAACGGAUCUCUUGGCUCUC